UUUAUACCAGAUAAUACACUUAAUAAGUUCAACAAAAUUUACAUAGGAUUAGCAUAUAGAUACAACAUGGCUUUCUUAGAAAGCUACAGCUUAGUAAUUAAUAGAUAGAGUUAUCCCAUAUACAACUGUGGCAAAAACCUCAUCAUGUUAGGCAGGCUUCCAAACUGUGAGCACUUCUUGAAACAUCUCUAGCAUCAGAUCUCUAUCUGCCUGUCUGAAGAAGUUGUUAAUUUCCUCCCUAACAUCAUAAAUCUUGCCAAAAUCGAACAAAUACAUCAAGCAACCUUUUUUCAAUUUAUUUAGCUGGUAAAGCCAGGCCUCUUGCAGUCUUUCGAGGACAUUACCCGAGUUGAUGUCUUCUAGGAGACUUUCCUCACAAGCAUUCUUCAAAUCUACAAUAUCAUACUUGUUUGCCG
rnacentral:misc_RNA from 1 species